AAGGACUUCCCCACCCUUACAUGACAUCUGUACCAUGCUUGAGCUGUUACACAUACAUAUGAUGACUUAGAAUCCACAGACAUAAAGAUGUGUGCAGCUCAGUGUGACGUCAGGAAGGUGAUUUCCAUAGAGAUGCUAGUUUGCAUGCUCUCCCCGUAUCUUCAUGUUUUUAGAGCGGCUAAGGGCUUCAUGACUGACUACUGUCCUCAUCAUCCACAACAAUGGCGUUCAUCACCCUCUUCAUCUACUCUCUGCUCCUCUACAUCCAAGACUGCAGGGCACAGGUGACCGUUACUCAAACUCACGUCAUAUCGUCCAGUCCAGGGGGCACAGUCACAAUCAGCUAUAAACGCAGUGGAAGUUUUAAUCGGGACUGUACUGGCACACCAUGCAUCUCCUGGUACCAACAGCAGUCUGGAGAGAAACCCAAACUCCUCAUCUAUAGAGUGAGCAGCCUCCAGUCUGAUAUUCCAUCUCGGUUUAGUGGUGGUGGAUCUGGGAAUGACUACAGUCUGACCAUCAGUGGAGUCCAGAGUGAAGAUGCAGGAGAUUAUUACUGCAUGAGUCGUCAUGUUACUGGUAGUACAUGGCAGUUCACACAGUGAUACAGACUCAGACUCGCAAAAACCUCACCCUCUCUCAGUCAGUCAGGUGGCACAGUGAGUGUGAUCUACUGCUGCAGGUGGAGCCCCCUGCAGGUUGCACAGUGAGUGUGAUCUACUGCUGCAGAUGGAGCCCCCUGCAGGUGGCACAGUGAGUGUGAUCUACUGCUGCAGGUGGAGCCCCUGCUGGUGGUGCACACCAGAGUGAAGUCAGAACCUAAUCAUGAUAUUAAACCUGAUCCUCUUCAGAAGAUAAUACCAUAUCAGACAAUAUAUUCUGAAAUAGUAGUUGAUUAUAUAGAUUGGUAUUACAUAUAUUACAUAUUGCUUAUUGAUUGCCAUAUGCUAUUAGUGAUGAUGAAAGUACCUCUAGUACCAUGGAAGGAUCCAAACAAUGACUAAAGGGGGGGGGGGUAUUUAAUAUGCCUCCCCUACAGUAUGUGUUCCUUUCAUUUAUAUAUUUAACAGACACGUUUAUCCAAAUUGACUUAGAUAUUACAUUGUUCUGAGAGCAAUGUGGGGUUGAGUACCUUGCUCAAGGGCACAACAGUUGGGAAUUGUGUUUAAAGUGUAUUUUGACCUGUGUGUGUAGCCAUAUCAGUGCAGGUGUGCUAUAUUGUAAUUUGACCUGAAGUCUGUUUUGAGUUGGUUGUUGUAUUGCAGUGUA